UACGCACUGGAAGAUGGAUCCACGGACGCUGAGACGAGCAGUUGCAACGUACCCUGUGUCGGCGGUCGGUAGUACUGCCAUAAUGGAAAUUUUCAGGCAAUGUUGCCGCCUGAAAGCCGAGUUUGGUUUCAAGCCAACCUGGACAACUGCUGUAUGAGGCGCUGUUUCUCAGGAGGAUCAGUGGGAAGGCGUCAGGUCAUGCAGAUGAUAGCAUCAAUUUCACAAUGCCCAGCCUUGGUGCCCUCCAUUAAGAGCAAGCCACUUGCGUUCGCCUUCAGGCAGAU
rnacentral:lncRNA from 1 species